rnacentral:rRNA from 1 species
CAAUAGCGUAUAUUUAAGUUGUUGCAGUUAAAAAGCUCGUAGUUGGAUUUCUGGUCGGAAGCUCCUGUCCUCUGAUGAGCGUACAAGUGCGUCCUACCAUCCUUCUGUUAACCUUUAAGGCUUUCGCGGCUUUCUAGGGGCUCAGAUAUUUUACCUUGAGAAAAUUAGAGUGUUUCAGGCAGGCUAGCGCCGGAAUACAUUAGCAUGGAAUAAUGGAAUAGGACUUUUGCCUCUUCUGUUGGUCAUGAGGCUCGAGUAAUGAUUAAUAGGGAUAGUUGGGGGCAUUAGUACUUAACUGUCAGAGGUGAAAUUCUCGGAUUUGUUAAAGACUAACUUAUGCGAAAGCAUUUGCCAAGGAUGUUUUCAUUA